UGGGUAGGGGAGCGUUCUGUAAGCCUGUGAAGGUGUGUCGUGAGGCAUGCUGGAGGUAUCAGAAGUGCGAAUGCUGACAUAAGUAACGAUAAAGCGGGUGAAAAGCCCGCUCGCCGGAAGACCAAGGGUUCCUGUCCAACGUUAAUCGGGGCAGGGUGAGUCGACCCCUAAGGCGAGGCCGAAAGGCGUAGUCGAUGGGAAACGGGUUAAUAUUCCCGUACUUGGUGUUACUGCGAAGGGGGGACGGAGAAGGCUAUGUUGGCCGGGCGACGGUUGUCCCGGUUUAAGCGUGUAGGUGUGUGUUCCAGGUAAAUCCGGUUCACUUUAACACUGAGGCGUGA
rnacentral:rRNA from 1 species